CCUACGGGAGGCAGCAGUGAGGAAUAUUGGUCAAUGGCCGUAAGGCUGAACCAGCCAAGUCGCGUGAAGGAGGAAGGAUCUAUGGUUUGUAAACUUCUUUUAUAGGGGAAUAAAGGUAUCCACGUGUGGAUAGUUGCAUGUACCCUAUGAAUAAGCAUCGGCUAACUCCGUGCCAGCAGCCGCGGUAAUACGGAGGAUGCGAGCGUUAUCCGGAUUUAUUGGGUUUAAAGGGUGCGAAGGUUGUUUUUUAAGUCAGCGGUGAAAGUUUGGGGCUCAACCAUAAGACUGCCGGUGAAACUGGCAGACUCGAGUAUGUGUGAGGUAUGCGGAAUGCGCGGUGUAGCGGUGAAAUGCAGAGAUAUCGCGCAGAAAUCCGAUUGCGAAGGCAGCAUGC
rnacentral:rRNA from 1 species